rnacentral:rRNA from 1 species
GAUGAACGCUGGCGGCGUGCCUAAUACAUGCAAGUCGAGCGAAUGGAUUAAGAGCUUGCUCUUAUGAAGUUAGCGGCGGACGGGUGAGUAACACGUGGGUAACCUGCCCAUAAGACUGGGAUAACUCCGGGAAACCGGGGCUAAUACCGGAUAACAUUUUGAACCGCAUGGUUCGAAAUUGAAAGGCGGCUUCGGCUGUCACUUAUGGAUGGACCCGCGUCGCAUUAGCUAGUUGGUGAGGUAACGGCUCACCAAGGCAACGAUGCGUAGCCGACCUGAGAGGGUGAUCGGCCACACUGGGACUGAGACACGGCCAAGACUCCUACGGGAGGCAGCAGUAGGGAAUCUUACGCAAGGGACGAAAGUCUGACGGAGCAACGCCGCGUGAGUGAUGAAGGCUUUCGGGUCGUAAAACUCUGUUGUUAGGGAAGAACAAGUGCUAGUUGAAUAAGCUGGCACCUUGACGGUACCUAACCAGAAAGCCACGGCUAACUACGUGCCAGCCGCCGCCGUAA